ACUAGUAGGGUCAUCGGAUUAUUGGGCGUAAGAGCUCGUAGGCGGUUUGUCGCGUCUGCUGUGAAAGACCGGGGCUCAACUCCGGUUCUGCAGUGGGUACGGGCAGACUAGAGUGCAGUAGGGGAGACUGGAAUUCCUGGUGUAGCGGUGAAAUGCGCAGAUAUCAGGAGGAACACCGAUGGCGAAGGCAGGUCUCUGGGCUGUAACUGACGCUGAGGAGCGAAAGCAUGGGGAGCGAACAGGAUUAGAUACCCUGGUAGUCCAUGCCGUAAACGUUGGGCACUAGGUGUGGGGGACAUUCCACGUUUUCCGCGCCGUAGCUAACGCAUUAAGUGCCCCGCCUGGGGAGUACGGCCGCAAGGCUAAAACUCAAAGGAAUUGACGGGGGCCCGCACAAGCGGCGGAGCAUGCGGAUUAAUUCGAUGCAACGCGAAGAACCUUACCAAGGCUUGACAUGAACCGGUAAUACCUGGAAACAGGUGCCCCGCUUGCGGUCGGUUUACAGGUGGUGCAUGGUUGUCGUCAGCUCGUGUCGUGAGAUGUUGGGUUAAGUCCCGCAACGAGCGCAACCCUCGUUCUAUGUUGCCAGCGGUUCGGCCGGGGACUCAUAGGAGACUGCCGGGGUCAACUCGGAGGAAGGUGGGGACGACGUCAAAUCAUCAUGCCCCUUAUGUCUUGGGCUUCACGCAUGCUACAAUGGCCGGUACAAAGGGUUGCGAUACUGUGAGGUGGAGCUAAUCCCAAAAAGCCGGUCUCAGUUCGGAUUGGGGUCUGCAACUCGACCCCAUGAAGUCGGAGUCGCUAGUAAUCGCAGAUCAGCAACGCUGCGGUGAAUACGUUCCCGGGUCUUGUACACACCGCCCGUCAAG
rnacentral:rRNA from 1 species